AACGAACGCUGGCGGCAUGCCUAACACAUGCAAGUCGAACGAGACCUUCGGGUCUAGUGGCGCACGGGUGCGUAACGCGGGGGAACCUGCCCUUAGGUUCGGAAUAACUCCCCGAAAGGGGUGCUAAUACCGGAUAAUGUCUUCGGACCAAAGAUUUAUCGCCUUUGGAUGGGCCCGCGUUGGAUUAGCUCGUUGGUCGGGUAAAAGCCUACCAAGGCGACGAUCCAUAGCUGGUCUGAGAGGAUGAUAAGCCACACUGGGACUGAGACACGGCCCAGACUCCUACGGCAGGCAGCAGUGGGGAAUAUUGGACAAUGGGCGAAAGACUGAUCCAGCAAUGCCGCGUGAGUGAUGAAGGCCUUAGGGUUGUAAAGCUCUUUUACCCGGGAUGAUAAUGACAGUACCGGCAGAAUAAGCUCCGGCUAACUCCGUG
rnacentral:rRNA from 1 species